GUCUUUGGCCAUACCAGCCUGAACGCGCACGACCCCGUCUCCUCUCGGAAGCUAAGCAGGGUCGGGCCUGCGUAGUACUUGGAUGGGAGACCGCCUGGGAACACCGGGUGCUGUAGGCU
rnacentral:rRNA from 1 species